UACGUAGGGGGCUAGCGUUGUCCGGAAUCAUUGGGCGUAAAGAGCGCGUAGGCGGCCAGAUAAGUCCGGUGUGAAAGUCACAGGCUCAACCUGUGAAUGCCGCUGGAAACUGUCUGGCUAGAGUCCGGGAGGGGCGAGUGGAAUUCCUGGUGUAGCGGUGAAAUGCGCAGAUAUCAGGAGGAACACCCGUGGCGAAAGCGGCUCUCUGGGACGGUACUGACGCUGAGACGCGAAAGCGUGGGGAGCAAACAGG
rnacentral:rRNA from 1 species